UACUAGCGGUCCAAGUCGCAAUCAUGUUUAUUGGGUCUAAAACAUCCGUAGCUUGCUGUGUAAGUCUCUUGUGAAAUCCUGCAUCUCAAGUGUAGAAGUGCGAGAGAUACUGCAUAGCUAGAGACCGGGAGAGGUAAGGAGUACGGUUAGGGUAACGGUAAAAUGUGUUGAUCCUUUCUGGACUAACAAUAGCGAAGGCACCUUACUAGAACGGAUUUGACAGUGAGGGAUGAAGGCUAGGGGCGCAAAACGGAUUAGAUAACCCUCGUA
rnacentral:rRNA from 1 species